CUCACUUUCGUCCAGAAUUGGCUGAGUUUUUUGGGUAUCUAUUUUCUUCCUUCCACUGGCAAAUUUAAACUUACGAGAGAUUUUCUGCUUUAAAAAAAUGAGAUUUCAUUUUUGCUAUUUCAGAUUUGGUAUUUUACAGCUUGUUGUAUUAAUCUUCAUUGAUUAAUUUUAAUUGUUUUCAAGAUGAUUAAGUAUUGGGUGAAUGAAUUGAAAUUGUUGGAGAAUUUUCAAGAUGAUAUGGAUAAUGAAUUCCUGAGUCAAUUGUGUUGUAAGUGUCGGGUGGAUGAACUGAAAUUAUUGGAGAGUUUUGCUUCUGGAGGUUACCAUUGAAAACCCAAUUCCACAUCUUGCAAAUGAAUAUAUCAACGAUUGAACUAUUAUUUUGGUCCUUAAGCCUCUCUCACCCACCCCACCCCACCCACCCACCCAAUGGAUGCCUACUACAGGUUCACCAUGGACUAUGUGUUUUAGGGUUUAUUUCAAACUUAUCAUACAGAUCCAAAUUCAUCAUUGCCUUCCAAAUAACCAGGGGAAUGGUUUAUUUGUAUUGAAAGGGUUUGUAUCAUGGAGCUAUAGAUGCCUAUUGCAGAUAACUUCAUUGCCUUCCAGAUUACCACGGGGCUAUUAGACAACUAUGGUCAUGAAAGGGUUUUUGAGAUGAUCAAAAGACAAUCUUCAUUGAUAACAAUGGUAUAUUAUUUGUCAAAUUUCUCGAUGAAGUUGAGUUGCUGCUUUUUCCUUCACUAGCCUUCUGAAAUAUAUACCACAUGCUUCACCUACGUUAUAUUCUUGCAGGACUGGAGUUGAUCUUGGAGAUUCUAGAAUCAACUAACUUGAAGUACCAAAAAGAUAGCUCUUUGGCUUUAUGCAAGGUGGCUAGUAAAGCCAGCUCACUUUCUCCUAUGGAUGCAGCUCCUCCCUCCCCCAACACCCCAGGUUCUGAUUAUGAUCAUUAUUUUGGAUAUGGCAUCCAUGUUUUUGUUUAGUCAGUCAAUCAAUCUAUGUAAUGUUUUUGCUUAAGGUUUUUAGCAAUUUUGUAAUUUGCAUAUCUUUUCAGCACUCGAACUCAAAUAUUAGGGAAGUUUUUAAACUACACAGAGAAAAUUGAAAGAAAAUACUAUCGUGUUGCUUAAUUAGAAAUAAUCAGUCAAUUAGGCAUAUCAAAUAUACUUGCUAUUUGAAGUUUGAAGCUAGAAACAAUGAGUUGUUUUGAACUUUUCGGAGACAUGUUUGGUUAGCGGAAAUGUAGUUGCAUAUAAAUUAAGAUUACAAGUAAAGUUGUGGAAACACAAGUUCUAUCUUUCCAUCCCAAUUAUAAACAUGCAUGUUUUAUCAACUUGCUUGUUUGUGUGCAUUCUAAAACACUGCUGCUUGUAAGCAAAGAAGUUCAUCUAUUUUUCAGCUUUAACUCUUCCAAUAUUUCUUAAGGAAAUCCUUUUCUCGUUAGCAAUAAUUUAUUACUGUGUCUUGUAUUGCUUUCCUUGGCAUAGUUUUUACGGUGUCUUGUAUUGCUUUCCUGAUUUUUUCUUUAGCUCUACCAUUUUUUUAUGCCGUAUACACUUUAAAGUGCUAUCGACUAGUGUGCACUAACCUGCACUUAUAAGUUAGAUAUGCAUGUAAUCCACAACUAGGCUUGAGUAUUCUUGGAUUAUGAUCACGAAGCGAGUCAUAAGAGGGCCAAAAUUUGCAGUUGUUGGAAGUGGGCCCUCAGGCUUGUUUGCUUCUCUUGUGGUUGCUGAACUUGGUGGAGAUGUUACAUUAAUAGAAAGAGAGUAGGUAGUUGAACACUCUAUUAGUUCGUAAUUAAAGCAUGCUAUUUUCUUUUUGCUCCUUCAGGCUUAUUUGUAGGUAGUGCCUUCUUCCUUUUCAUUGAGUUGUACCCAUGAAUAAUCUUUGGCCAUUGUAACGUGGUGCUCCUGAUGCAAUGAAAUGUUGAGCUCUCCUGUGAGAUGUAUUGAUGAGAUUCUUGCACUUCAUUAUUGAGCCGAUGAUUUCAAGGGUCAGAUGAGAGACAAAAGGAGAUGGAACUUUAUGAUUUGAAGUAUAAGAAGAAACGGAUGUUAUUAUUUUUUGAUAUAAUACUUGAUUGUAAGUAUAAGACUACAUACAUUGGUGAUAUGCAAUUCAAUAUAGAAGGGAUUGCUUCACAUUUAUACAUACAAAUGUAUUAUUUGUCUCAAAAGGACUAUAGUCUUUCGAAAUAAUUUGUACGCCUGAGGUUUCAAUCAAGA
rnacentral:lncRNA from 1 species